rnacentral:tRNA from 1 species
GAAUAUCUCAGUCAGUAGAGCAUGAGACUCUUAAUCUUAGGGUUGUGGGUUUGAGCCCAACAGGCAAUA